AGCAAAUCGGGGCUUUGCUUUUCCAUCUCUAGCCAUGGCAGAUGCUGAGGUCAAUGUUGCUGCGUCAAGCCAGCCAAAGAAGAGAACGUUCAAGAAGUUCAGUUUCAGAGGAGUAGAUUUGGAUGCUCUCUUGGACAUGUCUACUGAUGAGCUUGUCAAGCUCUUUCACGCUCGUGCUCGCAGAAGGUUUCAGCGAGGUUUGAAGAGGAAGCCAAUGGCGCUGAUCAAAAAGCUUCGCAAGGCGGUAUGGUUUUCUGUUUGUUAAUAAUAUUAUUAUAAAUGUUUACCUUGCUUGUAUGGUGGGGUGUAACUUAUUGGUUUCUGUUUCGUGUUAUUCUUGUUUUUAAUAUUCGCCUUUUCAUUUACUUUGUUCAUCUCCUUUUUGGAUGAUCUCUAUGCUGCAUUACAUCACUCUUCACCCUUUUUUCAACUAAAUUUCUUUAUCUGUGAGUUCAAAUUUUCUAAAAUUCUUAUUACAAACGUCCUUUUUUUUUAGGAUUAGGAAAAUAAAGAAAAAUCCAUACUGGAACAUUCAAAUAGAAAACUAUUAGUUUACAAUAAUAUAAAAUUUGUUCUUAACAAGUGAUCUAGGAUCAGGAACUAUAUUUUUUACACUUAUUUCUCCUUCUUUCUCUGCAUCAGUGACCAAAUGAAAUUUAGUUUUAUGCAAUUAAUGGUUAUGAUAUGCAAUCAAUUGAAUACAGCCAUAAACAACAGAACUUUUUUUUUUUUUUUGGAGGAACCCGAUCUCAGUUCAAAUCCACAACCUGCUAUUUCUGAACUUGACUUCUCAAUCGUGCAGCUCUAACUACCUAUUUUCAGAUUCAUGAGUGCUUGUGGCUGUCUUUUUCCAUGUGGGCAUAGUUAUGGCUGUUUGGAUGUACGAUGCCCCUUUGUCAAUGCCCUUUUCCUCUCCGAUAUAUUGACUUCCUUUGUUAAUCACCUGUUGUUGGAAACUAAAAUGGACGUUGCAAGGCAAACUCUUGGCCUUUUACCCUAGGUGCUGACAUUUUAAUCUUCUGUCAACAUGGUUGCUCAAACCCCUUCAAUUUGGAUUCAAAGAAAUUCAGAUUAAUGGAGAUAGUAGUGAGAAUGAUGCAGAUAUUUUUGGUCAGACUGAGAAAUUGAAGAAGUCCAACUGGAUGGCAGACUAACCAGCUGAAUGUGUUAUUGACAUAUGAUGUUGGUUCCUGGGUCAUAGCCUAAUCAGUUGCAUCAUGCUGUGAGAAAGUUGCUGUGUCUUUUAUUUAAUUGGUGUUGCAUUAUUGGGUUUGAUAGAUUUCUUGCCGAAUUGUCAGCUAGUGUAUAAGGUUGCAGGAAAGAAUAACAACACUGCAAUGGAUGGGAUUAGGAAAGUGAGAUAACUGUGACUUACUGGAAGAAAAGUAAUGGUGGGUUCAAUGAAGUAAACUGAACAUGAUGUGGAUGGGUUUAAGAUUCAAACUGCUGUGACAGAGUGACUAUAAAUUCUUUUGGCAGAAUUAUCUCAUGAUGUUAUCAAGUUGUCGAUAGAUACUUUUAUUUGCCCUUAGAAUUUAAAAAAUAUACUUUCAAGUGUUAAUAAUUUUUUUUUUUUUUUUCACUUUGAUGGAUAUCUCUAGUUUUAUUCCAAGAUUAGAUAAUGUCUUUCUAUCUGAUUGAUGCAGUAGAUUAUUAGAAUAAUAAGAUCAUAUGGAAGGCGUUAUUGCAUUGUGUUCAUGUGUCUCUUUUUAAAGUCUUUCCGUGAAAGCUGAGUAUGCAUGUUGCAGCAUUACGGCCUCUGUAGAUUUCUCUGUAGGCUCAUCAUUAAGGUGGUGUUGUGUAGUUAUGGCCCUUUACUAUUAUUCGUUAAUUGGGCAUGAGUUGCCUUUGUGCUUGUUGCAUUUAUUAGUCCGUUUUUAGUUUGCCAGAGCACUUGGGUAGUAAAAAUAUCCUGCAUUACUGUUUGUGUUAUUAAUUUGUUAUGCUUUAGUACGUAUUUGAAACUAAUUGUUUUGUUAUUUUCUUGUUGAAUUAUGCUUAUAUUUCAUUGCUUUCUUAACUUGAAAGGCUUGUCUAAAGCCAAAAAAAAAAAUGUCUUCAUUUUUGUAGCCGGUCAACAAGAUACUGAUGCUUACAUUUGGUGUUUAUGUGAUCUAUAAAUUUUUUUAUUAGUGGAUAUUGCUAUUGUUCUUUAUGUUGGCGUGAGUUCAUUUUCAUGUCCAAAACAAAGUGAAAAGCACUUAAAAUUUGUUGCAGAAAAGGGAGGCUCCACCUGGUGAGAAACCUGAGCCUGUUAGGACUCACCUCCGCAACAUGAUCAUAGUACCUGAAAUGAUUGGUAGCAUUAUUGGUGUUUACAAUGGCAAGACUUUUAAUCAGGUUGAAAUCAAGCCUGAAAUGAUAGGCCAUUAUUUAGCUGAGUUCUCCAUCUCUUACAAGCCUGUGAAGCACGGAAGACCUGGUAUUGGUGCGACCCACUCUUCCAGGUUUAUUCCUCUUAAGUGAAGAUUUUGCUAUGCCUUGAACUGCUGGCCACAUGGGAGUGCUCUAUUAUCUUAGUCCUUAAAUUGGCUUUUGCUUUACUGCUUUGGUUUGUAAAAGCGUUACCUCAUUUUGAACGAAAAAGUUGGAAAGCUAACUAGUUUCUAUUUGAAUUUUCCUUUGGGUUAACGAAUUAGAAAUAUUGUCUGGAUUUCUAUUUUGAGAAAGAAAAUGAUCCACUUACCUUUUCUAUGAAGAGGUAUUUAUAAUUUAUCAGCCUGGGCAACCUUUUGCAUCUUCUCUGCUUGCUUCUGAAGACACUUUUUUCAUGGAAUCGAAGAAACAUUCAAGUCAUUUUAGCCUCUGGGUUUUCCCCCCUUGAAAAUGAGCCAUUUUUCCGGUUUGCUAUCCGGUGUGAAGGUCCCAUGAAGAUUAUAUUUGAUCUGCAAAUGUCCAUUAUCUAGUGCAAAAGGCUCAGGUGGAUCAUGAUUUAAUAUAAAUCAUAGGGUCAGCCCAGUUUGUCAAGGUCUGCAUUUGCAAGAAU
rnacentral:misc_RNA from 1 species